rnacentral:misc_RNA from 1 species
GGUGACAGUUGCAUCUGUAAAGAACUUUCAGCUGAUCGCUGCAACCUCACCUGCUGCAGAAGCCCCCAUACCGUCGCAGCCGCCUCCUCAGCCAGCCCAACCUACCCAUUCUGACCACGACAAGAUCAUUCUUCAGUUCGGAAAGGUCGGUAAGGACAUGUUUACGAUGGAUUAUCGAUACCCGCUGUCUGCAUUCCAGGCUUUUGCUAUAUGUCUCAGCAGCUUUGACACAAAAUUGGCAUGUGAAUAGACAAG